rnacentral:rRNA from 1 species
UACAGAGGUCUCAAGCGUUGUUCGGAUUCAUUGGGCGUAAAGGGUGCGUAGGCGGUCUGUCGCGUCGGCUGUGAAAUCCCGAGGCUCAACCUCGGGUCUGCAGUCGAUACGGGCAAACUAGAGUAUUGCAGGGGAGACUGGAAUUCCUGGUGUAGCGGUGAAAUGCGCAGAUAUCAGGAGGAACACCGGUGGCGAAGGCGGUGGUCUGGGCCGGCACUGACGCUGAGGAGCGAAAGCGUGGGGAGCGAACAGG